rnacentral:rRNA from 1 species
CCUACGGGAGGCAGCAGUGGGGAAUAUUGGACAAUGGGGGGAACCCUGAUCCAGCCAUGCCGCGUGUGUGAAGAAGGCCCUCGGGUUGUAAAGCACUUUCAGUGAGGAAGAACGCCUGGUGGUUAAUACCCAUCAGGAAAGACAUCACUCACAGAAGAAGCACCGGCUAACUCCGUGCCAGCAGCCGCGGUAAUACGGAGGGUGCGAGCGUUAAUCGGAAUUACUGGGCGUAAAGCGCGCGUAGGUGGCUUGAUAAGCCGGUUGUGAAAGCCCCGGGCUCAACCUGGGAACGGCAUCCGGAACUGUCAAGCUAGAGUGCAGGAGAGGAAGGUAGAAUUCCCGGUGUAGCGGUGAAAUGCGUAGAGAUCGGGAGGAAUACCAGUGGCGAAGGCGGCCUUCUGGACGGAAACUGACACUGAGGUGCGAAAGCGUGGGUAGCAAACAGGAUUAGAUACCCGUGUAGUC